rnacentral:rRNA from 1 species
AUGGAUCGUAAUCAUGUGGCCAGAAACAGCGCACCCCUUCCCUUAUCUGCAGCACAUAUCCUUCUUCCUUCUCCAUCGCUCAGCUCCCCUGCCCCAUCCCCACAACUCCGUUCCCUGUCCUGCACCACCAGCGCCGCCGCAAUUCCGGUCCCUGUCCCGCACCACUGCCUUCGCUGCUGUGACCCUCCUCCUCCUCCUCCUCCCCCACCCCCUCGCCCUCAAUCUCCCUCCUCCCUUUUCCUUUUUCUGAUGGCCCACGGCUCGCCCUGA